UUGAAACAGGGAACAUUUAGGUUAGGUGUUCGUAAGAAAUUCUUUACUGUGAGGGUAGUGAGACACUGGCACAGGUUGCCCAGGGAGGUUGUGGAUGCCGCAGCCCUGGAAGUGUUCAUAGACAGGUUGCAUAAGGCCUUGAGCAGCCUGAUGAAGUGGGAGGUGCCCCAGCCCAUGGCAGAGGGGGUUGAGGCUAGAUGAUCUUUAGGGUCCCUUCCAACUUAUGAUUCUGUGUUUGCAUUUUUUAAAAGAAAGGGAAAUGCUCAAUGAAGUCACAUCCUGGUGUUGCCCAAGUUGGUUACUGGAGGAUUUCAGACCUGCUACUGGUCUUGUCUGUCCCAGUCACUGCGUGCACGGGCAUGAAAAGAGGGGGGAAAUGGCAGUUUUGCUGUAAAUCUUUCAGGAAUGUUGAGAGUUGGGGCACAUUUGUCAGGACAGGCUAUUGGAAGACACUGGGAAUUUUGGGGUCCCGGACUCUGCUCUGAGGUCUCCCUGCUGUCCUUCCUGUGUGAUGGAAGGCAAACUCAAAACCUGAGCCAAGUCUCUGGUCAAAAGUCAUGAGACGAGUGAAGUCUUCAUCUUUAAAAAUAGCAUCUUGAAAUAAUACAUUGUACGUUACUUGAUUUAGAGCCUGUAAUUUUUAUCUUUGGUAUGCUCAAGCUUUUCUCCAAAACCCAAAGGGAAAUAACAACACUUUUUUUUUUCUCAAUGAAAGCUGAGAUUAACAUCUAAUCAUCUUCCCCUUUAGAAGCUGAGGUUUUAGGAGCACCAACUUAGGUUAAACUAGGAAGUAUGGACAAUAGCACUUUCUUUCGAGUGGAACUUUGAAGAACUCUAACUGAGGGAGACCACAGGCUCAAGACCUGUGGAGAAGUCUGUGAAGGGACAAAAUCCAUGAAAGACUUGAAACCAGAGGAGGAAAUGAGACCAUGUGGAGGCCUGGCCAGUUGAAGCAGAUACCUUGGCCCUGUUUAGAGGCCUUAGAAGCAUUCCUGAGUUCUUCCUUGGUCCUCCCAGAUGUCAUCACUUAAUCUGUAAUUCAAAAGCUUGGGUAAAGAUGACAGGAACACUACAGAGAGCAGCACAGACCCUGUGAAAGCACCUGAAAGUGAACUCUAAAGAUCAAGACUAGGUUUCAGGAAGAGGAGGAUGGGUCAGAAAGUCCAGAUUCUGAAUAAUAAGAAGGAACUCUCAUUAAGGGCUUGGGUUAUUUGAUAAUAAUCUUGUGAGGUUGCUUCAGCAGAGCUGAAAUAUUACAAAAUAUUAGAGAAACUCCUGGAGAGAUGGUUUAGCAGUCAAAGCUCCAUGAUGAAGGGGGAAUUAUAGGGAAGACGGCACAAGGCUUCUCUCUGAGAUGAGCACCAACAGAACAACAGACAAAAGAGAGAAGUUGCACCCAAAGAUAUUUCAAUUGUGUAUAAGAAAACAAAAGUUCAAAGUAAGAGUGGUCAAGUAGUGGAACACUUUCCCAGAAUGGCUGUGGACUUUCCAUCCAUGAAGAUAAAACUAGGCUGGAUAAGGUUUUAAGCAACCUAGUUUAGCUUUGAAGAUAGCCCUGUUUGGAGCAGAAGGUAAAAGAUAAUCCAGAUAUGUACUAGAUUAAAUGUGUUCCAAUACUUGAAUCAUAGGAAAAAGAGUAUGCUGAGAGAAGAAAGAAGUCUGACUUGUAUGUUGGUAUUCACCUUAGUUUAUGUGUUGGGAAGAGCAUACUUGA